rnacentral:rRNA from 1 species
AGUGAACGCUGGCGGUAGGCCUAACACAUGCAAGUCGAACGGCAGCACAGUAAGAGCUUGCUCUUACGGGUGGCGAGUGGCGGACGGGUGAGGAAUACAUCGGAAUCUACUUUUUCGUGGGGGAUAACGUAGGGAAACUUACGCUAAUACCGCAUACGACCUACGGGUGAAAGCAGGGGAUCUUCGGACCUUGCGCGAUUGAAUGAGCCGAUGUCGGAUUAGCUAGUUGGCGGGGUAAAGGCCCACCAAGGCGACGAUCCGUAGCUGGUCUGAGAGGAUGAUCACCCCCACUGAAACUGAGACACGGCCCAGCCCCCUACGGGAGCCGGCGGGGGGAAUUAUUGACGAAUGGCCGCAGGCCUGAUCGACCCAUCCCGGGUGGUUGAAAAAGCCCUUGGGUUUGUAAAGCCUUUUUGUGGAAAAAAAAAAGCAGAAGUUAAAUCCCCCGCUGUUCGGACGGUCCCAAAUAAAAAAACCCCGGCUAACUUCGUG